GGGUCCGCACAAGCGGUGGAGCAUGUGGUUUAAUUCGAUAAUACGCGAGGAACCUUACCUAGGCUAGAAUGCGAGUGACAUCCAGAGAGAUCUGGAGUUCUUCGGACACUUAACAAGGUGCUGCAUGGUUGUCGUCAGCUCGUGCCGUGAGGUGUCAGGUUAAGUCCUAUAACGAGCGCAACCCCCUGUUGUUAGUUGCCAGCGAGUAAUGUCGGGAACUCUAGCAAGACUGCCAGUGCAAACUGUGAGGAAAGGUGGGAUGACGUCAAAUCAUCACGGCCCUUACGUCCUGGGCUACACACGUGCUACAAUGGUAGGUACAGAGAGCAGCCACUACGCGAGUAGGAGCAAAUCUUCAAAGCCGGUCUC
rnacentral:rRNA from 1 species